AGGUUAAACAAAUAAAACACAUGAAUAGUGAAAUCAAUGAUUUUAGUUUGAAAAAAAAUAUUUAAAUCUAUUAUAUUUACACACAAACACACACACGUACUAAAGGGAAUUUGAAAAGUUUUGGGACCAAAGCUUCCUUUGGUUCCUAACAGGGUUCUCCCUCCAUCCCCGAGGUUUGUCGUUUUAUCAGAAGAACCAAUGAGCAUGAAGAUGAAAAUGUUAAAUUUUCUAGGACAAUGUCUUUGUGCAAUUGCUCUGCUCUAUUCAAUACAGAGUGGUUAAGGCACAUGCUGAUGAUGCAUUUUAUGAGCUGCAAAAUCCUGAAGAACGGAUUCGGGCUUAUGUGUUUGAUGUGGUUCGAGCUCUAGUUCCUAGAAUGAAUUUGGAUGAUCUCUUUGAACAAAAGGGUGAGGUUGCUAAAGCUGUUCUUGAGGAACUUGGAAAGGUGAUGGGAGAUUAUGGAUAUAGCAUUGAGCACAUACUGAUGGUUGACAUCAUACCC